rnacentral:lncRNA from 1 species
AACUUAGGCCGUGUUCACACUAAACGCCGUGUAGAGUAAACAUGUUUACAAUUAGUUUAGUGUAGUGUACACUGGUUUCACAUUACAUUUGUUCACAUCUAUACACCUUGUUUAGCUACCUGUACAUAAGAUUUGUUCCCACUUGUAAACUAUAUGUCAUUUAAAUGUUCAUUACGUAGAACUGAAUUCAAAAUUUUUGGAAAUUUUUCUAGCGGUAAGGGAACAACCAAUUGACUUCAAAAGGGGGGCGGAGGAUGGGAAUGGAAAUAUUCCGAUCUCCAAUUUGAUAAAAAAAAAUGGUCAUACAGAUGAUAAAAAAAAAAUGUUCUGAAUCAAGAGUGUCCCCAUACAUUAUAGUGUUAAAUAUUGAAAAAAAGUAUUUGAUAACCAGCAUCGAAAAAAAAAGGAAAUAAAA